rnacentral:rRNA from 1 species
UUAAAGCCCCGUCCAUCCUGGACACGACAUUCUCGUACAAAGGAACUUUCUUUCGAGUCGGAUAGCUUGGGAAUGCUGUCCUAAUAGGUGGUAAAUCUCAUCUAAGGCUAAAUACUGGUGGGAGACCGAUAGCAAACAAGUACCGUGAGGGAAAGUUUAAAAGCACUUUGAAAAGAGAGUGAAAAGAACCUGAAACCGCUAGGGGGGAAGCGAAUUGCGCUGAUAUGUGAGAGGAGUGUCGAUCAGUGGGUGAAACCGCGUACUCUGCACUUUUUCUCUGCCGUCAUGGGUUUGUAGUGGUGGAUUUUGCACUGCUGCAGGCCGAGGGAUCCCUUUUAUAGGUGACGAUGAUGGAUUUGUCGGUGCGAUUCGACCCGUCUUGAAACACGGACCAAGGAGUCUAGCGUACCUGCGAGUCAAAGGGUGUGAAAACCUGAGGGCGCAGUGAAAGCGAAUCUAUUGAAAAUGGUGCAAUUUGAGGCGGCAUACGAUCUUUGAUUGUAAGUCCGACCUAGAGCAGAUAUGCUAGGACCCGAAAGAUGGUGAACUAUGCUUGAGUAGGGCGAAGCCAGAGGAAACUCUGGUGGAGGCUCGUAGCGGUGCUGACGUGCAAAUCGCUCGUCAAACUUGAGUAUAGGGGCGAAAGACUAAUCGAACCAUCUAGUAGCUGGUUUCCUCCGAAGUUUCUCUCAGGAUAGCAGGCCCAAAUAUAUGAUUGUUGUGUGUGGUAAAGCGAAUGAUUAGCAUACUCGGGGUCGUUUAGACUUCGGAUGAUUCUCAAACUUUAAAUGCGCACGGAUGUUGCCGCUUGGGUGGGCGGCAUCUCUAAAAACUUGGGCUUUGUGGGCCACUUUUGGUAAGCAG